rnacentral:lncRNA from 1 species
UCAAACAACUAAUUCACUGCUACUUUCCCUCCAAUUUUAACCUUUUCCCCACUUAAUUGAAUCUUAUUUUCCUGUAGACAUGGUGACAUUUAGAUAUUCCUUCAGACUGGAUCUCUAAACGCCUGUCUGGUACCUAUACAAACUCCUUCUCUCUGGGAACCACUCCAGUCAGUUUGUUUGAUAUAAAAAACUGAAGUAUUAGAUAACUUUUAAAAACUGAACCAAUUUUUCAUUGCAGUGAAAAGAUUCAAGCUAAUUAUGGAUAUUGGCAUCUCCAGUUUUAUAGAUUAGAAACCGUGGUCAUCCUGAAGCAUAAUCUAAUUCAUUAUACCUGGAAUAUUUUCAUGAAACAGCCAGUGUUUAAUAAAAGUAUUUGAUAAUAAACGAAAAUAUAUUCAAAGACAAAAUGAGUCUGAUUGUGAUGAAUGUUAAAGACACAAAUGAGAGAUAUGGUUUAGUCACUGACCAAAAGGUUAAGCUGUAAAAGGUUAAGAUAUAUUGGACACCAAGCCCUUUGAGAAUAAGAAACUUUUCCUUUCCAUUUUAACCAAUAAAGAGUUUAAUAAAUGUUUACUAAAUGAAUACCUGAGGGAUUAGUAAAGGAAAAAAAAUUAGUUAGGGAUAAAUUAUGCAGAAUAGAUUAAGUAGAUUAUUCUUAUCGUAAUGCCUAAUAAAAAUAAACAAAAAUGGCUAGAAGACAUGAGAUCUUAUGUCAUAUACUGAAUAGUGACUUUUAAGAUAACUUUGAUUAAAAUCAUGGCUUAGAUUAUGGCCUCCGAAGAUACAGCUUGGGCAUGACAAAACUUUUCUUCCCUUUGACUAAACCCAUAUUUCUGUGCUUCCUAGUUUCUGAGACUACUCCUCAGGUAUCAUUCCUAGAAAAAAAGUGCGUUUUUUUUUUCUUUCUUAGUAAGUUCUAAGCAUCCCUUAUACCCCCUUGGAACUGUUUGCUCUCAAACCUGCCUUUGAAAUUAUGCUGGUCAGCAGUUUGUCCAAAAUCAACCUUGUAGACAUAUCCUUUCUCUAAUUCUUCUGUCACUCUGGGCACUCUCCCCAGCCAGAAGAUGGUAUUUGAACAUGUAAAGUCUCCUGGUCUAAAGAGAUAGCCACUCGUAUGGGUAUUUGUAUUGUUAGUCAUUCAUUCAUAUUUCCAGCCUUUUCCAAGUGCAAGCCCUGAUAUCUUUGACCUGCAGCUACCUAUCCCAUUUGCUGAGUGAUUUGGUCCAACCUGGCCAGUAUAUUAUCAUCUUAUCAUCCUAUGAAUAAGGGGCCCUAAGCUAGUCUUGCUUUAUUAAGCUCAUUAUGAAGCCUGUUCAUUUGAAUUCCUCAGGUCAGCUUGGGAGUACCUUUGUGAUUAAUGAACUGCAACUUUCCCCUAACCACUCCGUCUGCCAUAUUUGGACAGUCUGAGUGAAAUGUGUCUUUCUUGUUUUUCUAAUUAUAUUCCAGUUCAUAAAAUCUUGACUUUUUCCUUGAACAAUAUGUUUGACUGGCACUUUGAUAAUUCCUCCAGCUAUGGUCAGCUUCUUCUUAGGAUUGAUUGAUAUGUAGACCAGUGUUGUUAUUAUUUUAAAAUAUAGGCUGUAGGAUACAUGCAGAAUCUCCUAGAUUGAUUUAUACAAAUGCACAUUUCAGUACCCUGAUGUAGACUUAGAAAUCAUAAUCUCUGAAUAUAGGACCAUGGACUUUGCAAGUAAACAAGCUUUUACAGUUUACAACAUUUAGAGAAAUAAAAAAAUAUUUAUCUUUUUUGUUAUCUGUAUGAAAUGAUAGAUUAAACUUAUUGUGGUAAUCAUUUUGUGAUAUACAUAAAUCAUUAUACAGCUUAAAAUUUACAGUGCUGUAUGUCAUUUAUGUCUCAAUAAACCUAAGGGAAAAGUUGGAGAAAAACUACACUAAAGCUUAAGAAAUAUUACUAUAGUUUGUACAUCUAGCAUUGAGGAUUGUAUCCAAAUCAAGAUGUAAUUAUUUUAAAAGCAGCCUUAUUAAGACAUAAUUCACUUACCAAAAAGUGUAGCCUUUCAAAGAGGUUUGGUCUAAUUAUUCGAUAUGGGAUCUUGAGGGUUUCUUUUUCUAAAAGUGAUUCGUUACCUUGGAGAUUUUUCCUAUAGUAUUUUUUUUUAAGGCUAUAUGUGUGGCAUAUGGAAAUUCCCAGGCUGGGGUUAAAUCGGACCUACUGCUUCUGGCCUAUGCCACAGACAUGGCAAUGCUGGAUGCGAGCCACGUCUGUGACCUACACCACAAUUCACGGAAAAGCCAGAUCCUUAAGCCAUUGAGUGAAGCCAAGUAUUGAACCCAUAUGCUCAUGAAUACUAGUUGGGUUCGCUACCACUGAGCCACAAUGGGAACUUCCUUUUUUUUUUUUUUUUUCCUAUAGUAUCUUUAUAUAUGGUAUAAACUCCUUUAAAUACAACAGGUAAGUUUACCAUACUGAUGAACAUUUAGAUUGCUGAUUAUCUACUUGGAGUCCAAGUCUGCUGUUAGGAGUAUUUCCUUGGACUUAUGAUCCAUAAUUACAGAUUUUUUUCUUCUAAACAAUCUUUAUUCUGAAGACCCAUCAGGCCUUAUGGCCCCACUGAGAAUAUUCCACAUGUAUAUGGAAUGGUUCUAGAUGGUUUUGUCUAGAAUAACAGAUAAAUGUUGGAACAACGCACCAUUAGCUUUGGUAGAAAGGGUGAAGCCAUAUUAACAAAUUGAGAAACUGGAGUUUAUAUGUAUUUGGUAGAAAAUAGAGACCCUCUGGGAAAUCAACAAAAUAAUAUGAACAAAUUUAUUUGUGGGUAUUUGUAUACACUUGGCCUGGUAAAGGAGAACCAGAUGGGCCAGUGAGAAGUAAGACAAAUAUCAAGAGAUCUCUAAAAAGAAGGGUGUUGAACUGAACCAGGAGCUAGAUGUUGAGGGCCUGUGUUUGAAUUCUCUCUCACAGAAUGGAAGGUAAAUAUUGCUAAGAUCUGCUGAAUGAAUGGAACUGAAAAGGUUAAACUGCAUAAUGCCUUGGCUAGAUGGCUGAGGAACUUGUGGUGCUGCUGAGAGUGGUAACAAAGUUGAUGGAAGAGCUGAUCAAGAUGAAUAUAAGCUCUAAGCCCUGUUACCUCACACCUGAGCCCAAGUUGCCACUGUCAUUUCUCAACUACAAAGUGUGAUUGAUGCCAGGAUGCAGAACUAAAAAAGGGUGAUUACUGGAUGUCGGGGUGAGGUACAUAAUGCUAUGUUGUUUGAGCAAAUAAUAUCAUUUCUGGAAAAUGACAAGAUGAAUGGCGCUAGUGUGUAUCUAUCAAAUGAGUCAUAUUAGGCAUUUAUCCAGUAUUUUGUACAGGGCCUACUCUCUCUAAAGAGACUCAGUUUCACCUUCUUUGCAUUUCACCCUAAUACCUUUCUUUGUCAAUUCUCUUUCCAGUAGGGAACUAUGGGAAAGAAAAUAUAAGUUGGGAGACUUGGUUACAAUAUUCGAAUAUAAUUUUUGGGAACAAAUAUUGCUUAUCAUAUUUGGUUUGCCCAUAUGUCUUUACAAAAGCUGUAGGACUAGUUUUAACCAAUGAAGCAUGAGCAGACAUGAGAAGUGUUAACAUCUAGGCCAAAGUACUUAAGAAGCACUUCCCUUUGGGCUAAUUGUGCAAGCUACACAUUGGAUCAGCCUGGAUGCUCAAGUCAUUGCAUGGAGAAGAAUUUCCUUUGAGAAGUGCCUAUUCCAAAUCAAAGUUUGUGUGAAUGAGAAAUAAAUCUUUCUUCUGUUGGGCUACUGUACUUACUUGUUACCAUAGUCGUGCUUACAUAUCCUGCCUAAUAUACUAAGUCAGGGUGGCUUGUGCAAAAUUAAUCAAUCAAUGAAUAAUAACAUGGGCUAAAACUUCAGAGGUGACUGACACUAGAGACAGCUAGACUUAGGUGAUUCCUCAUCUUAGUUUUACAUUUCUCUGUUAACUUCAUUACUAAACAGUCUCUCUCCUGGUAGUAUCUCUGAUUUUUUACCCACAGUUUAGCAAUCCAGUAAAAAGAGGGCUUUUUAAAAGUCCAGUAUCUCCUUCACUUGUAAACAAACCAGCAAGCAAACCUGGAAUUGAAUAUCAUUGUACUGACAUGGAUCAUGCAUUUAUACCUCUAUCUAUGGAUAUUAAUCAUGUCCAGAGAUUUGAUGUGUUAUAAUUUGCCUGGUCAGAGGCCAAAAGUUAUGGUCAAACCCAGCCAAAUCACACAGACGAACAGUGAGUGAGGAGUGGUUUCCCAAAAUGAAAUACGAUUGCUAUAAUUAAAGAGGGGUGGGGAGUUCCAUUGUGGCACAGCGGAAAUGAAUCUGACUGCCAUCCAUGAGGAUGCUGCUUCUAUCCCUGGCCUCUCUCAGUGGGUCAGGACUCCAGCUUUGCCAUGAGAUGUGGUGUAGGUUACAGAUGCAGCUCAGAUCUCGUGUUGCUGUGACUGUGGCGUAAGCCAGCAGCUGCAGCUCUGAUUCGACCCCUAGCCUGGGAACUUCCAUAUGCUGAGGGUGCAGCCCUAAAAAGUUAAAAAAAAAAUUAAUUAAAAAGUUUAAAAAGAAGGGUGAAUUGAUUCUGGGAAGCAAAAAUAUAUAUAUUAAUUCAUAUAUUUUCAGUGUAGACAUUAUCUCCUUAUAGCUCUAAGCAAUAUUAUAUAAGUAUGCUCUAUAGAGUGUUUCCUUAGUUAAUAUUUCCUAAUGGAAUAAUGCUCCUUAGUUUUUAAUAUCCAAACUUCAUGGAGCUUACAGAACUCUCAACUGCAACAUUUUCAGCCUAUGUUUUCAUCAUCUGUCCCCAGAGUUAAAUAUAAAAUUUCAAACAAAGUGAUAUUUAGAAAAAAGCUUUGGGUUGUACUCCAGAAACAGCUAGUAGAAUGUCAAAGUCAUGAUAAAUAUUUUGAAAAGUAUAAAGUAUGAUGGAUGUUGACAAAAAGGACAUGUAGGUUAGAUGUGUCUGGUGCUAAGAAAGGCAUCACUGUGUCACACUCAAGGUGAGACAGUCUCUGCCACUGGGCAUUUGUCCUAAAUGUCUUUCCUAUUGUUGCUAAGUGUUUGCCAAGAAUUAAUUGGACAGUAUGACCCCCCAAACACAAGGCAGUGCUCAUAAAAAUUGUAGGGACAUAAGCAAAGCAAAUGAGAAAAUGAUUGCAAUAGAACUGAAGUGUUACUGCAGUAAACAUAAUUUUAAAAAAAUUACUGUGUUAAUCAUUUUAUAAUUAACAACCUGUAUUCCAAGUAUCUUGUAUCCUGACAUGAUAGUUUGUUAAUUCUCUAAAGACAUUUGUGUGUGUAUGUGUGUGUGUGUGUGUGUGUGUUUUAAUCAUAGAAAUAUGUUGAGAAGUUCCCGUCGUGGCUCAGUGGUUAACUAAUCCGACUAGGAACCAUGAGGUUACGGGUGUGAUCCCUGGCCUUGCUCAGUGGGUUAAGGAUCCGGCGUUGCCGUGAGCUGUGGUGUAGGUUGCAUACGCGGCUUGGAUCCUGCAUGGCUUUGGUGUAGGCCAGCGGCUACAGCUCUGAUUCGACCCCUAGCCUGGGAAUCUCCAUAUGCUGCAGGAGUGGCC